rnacentral:rRNA from 1 species
GAUUAACGCUGGCGGCGUGCAUAACACAUGCAAGUCGAACGAUGAAACUUAAAUGAUUUCUUCGGAAUGAACUUAAGUGGAUUAGUGGCGGACGGGUGAGUAACGCGUGAGUAACCUGCCUUACACAAGGGGAUAGCCGUUGGAAACGACGAAUAAUACCCUAUGAAACUAUCACUUCGCAUGAAGCGAUAGUCAAAGUGUUAGCGGUGUAAGAUGGACUUGCGUCUGAUUAGCUAGUUGGUGAGAAAAAAGCCCACCAAGGCAACGAUCAGUAGCCGGCUUGAGAGAGUGUACGGCCACAUUGGGACUGUGACACGGCCCAGACUCCUACGGGAGGCAGCAGUGGGGAAUUUUGCACAAUGGGGGAAACCCUGAUGCAGCGACGCCGCGUGAUUUAGAAGGCCUUCGGGUUGUAAAAAUCUUUUGUAUAGGAAGAAAAUGACAGUACUAUACGAAUAAGGUCCGGCUAAUUACGUG